rnacentral:rRNA from 1 species
UACGGAGGGUGCGAGCGUUGUUCGGAAUUACUGGGCGUAAAGCGCGUGUAGGCGGCCUUCUAAGUCUGGUGUGAAAGCCCGGGGCUCAACCCCGGAAGUGCAUUGGAUACUGGGAGGCUGGAGUACCGGAGAGGAGGGUGGAAUUCCUGGUGUAGCGGUGAAAUGCGUAGAUAUCAGGAGGAACACCGGUGGCGAAGGCGGGUCUCUGGGCCGAUACUGACGCUGAGGAGCGAAAGCGUGGGGAGCAAACAGG